rnacentral:rRNA from 1 species
GUCUUUUUGAUUAUAAUUUAAAGUCUAACCUGCCCACUGAUAAUUUAAAUGGCUGCAGUAUUUUGACUGUACAAAGGUAGCAUAAUCAAUAGUUUCUUAAUUAGAAGCUUGUAUGAAUGGUUGAAUAAAAAAAUAACUGUCUCAAAUUUAGUUUAUAAAAUUUUAUUUUUAAGUUAAAAAGCUUAAAUUUUAUUAAAAGACGAGAAGACCCUAUAGAGUUUAAUAUUUAAUUUAGUUAAAAAUUUUUAGUAUUUAAUAUUUUUAAUUGAUUAAAAUAUUUGAUUGGGGUGAUUAAAAAAUUUAAUUAACUUUUUUUAAAAAAUUACAUUUAUAUAUGAAUUUUUGAUCCAUAAUUUAUGAUUAAAAGAAUAAAUUACCUUAGGGAUAACAGCGUAAUUUUUUCUUAAAGUUCUUAUUGAAGAAAAAGAUUGCGACCUCGAUGUUGGAUUAAAGGAAAUUUAUGGUGUAGAAGCUAUAAUAUUAAGUCUGUUCGACUUUUAAAACUUUACA